rnacentral:rRNA from 1 species
GAGUUUGAUCAUGGCUCAGGAUGAACGCUAGCGGCAGGCUUAACACAUGCAAGUCGAGGGGUUAUAGGUUUUCGGACCUAGAGACCGGCGCACGGGUGCGUAACGCGUAUGCGAAUCUGCCUUGUACUGGGGGAUAGCCCCAGAGAAAUUUGGAUUAAUACCCCAUAGUGUAUUGAAGUGGCAUCACUAUAAUACUAAAGUUCCAACGGUACAAGAUGAGCAUGCGUCCUAUUAGCUAGUUGGUGUGGUAACGGCAUACCAAGGCAACGAUAGGUAGGGGUCCUGAGAGGGAGAUCCCCCCACACUGGUACUGAGACACGGUCCGGACUCCUACGGGAGGCCAGCAGUGGGGAAUAUUGGACAAUGGGCGAAAGCCUGAUCCAGCGACGCCGCGUGGGUG